CUCUGCUCCUUCUUUCUCCUAUUCUACAAAUACUCUGCUCUUUCUUUCUCCUUUUUUUACAAGUACUCUGCUCCUUCUUUCUCCUAUUCUACAAGUACUCUGCUCCCUACUCCAACUUCUCCCCUUCCUCUACCCGCGUGUUACACUCGUUCACGAGCACAGGCAUUCGUACGUGCAUACGCCCAUGCGAUAUAGGCGCACAUGCACGUUCAAGCACACACGCCCGCGCUUUCAUGCACUCGCAUCUGCAACCUCGCACUUCCUGCUUACCACUGAGUGCACGAGAGAUGAAUAAAGUGUUCCUCUCUAGAUGGAGGGAGGAUUCUGCUACCGCCCACCUGGAAUCCCAAAACGCCCACUGGUGGGCGGUAGGGACCAGGUUGGCAACCCAUGCUGUAGACAG